AUAAAAAACCAACGCCCUUCGGGGCUCCUUGGUGAAUCAUAAUAACUAAGCGAAUCGCAUGGCCUUGCGCCGGCGAUGGUUCAUUCAAAUUUCUGCCCUAUCAACUUUCGAUGGUAAGAUAGUGGCUUACCAUGGUGGCAACGGGUAACGGGGGAUUAGGGUUCGAUUCCGGAGAGGGAGCCUGAGAAACGGCUACCACGUCCAAGGAAGGCAGCAGGCGCGCAAAUUACCCAAUCCCGACACGGGGAGGUAGUGACAAUAAAUACUGAUACGGGGCUCUUUUGGGUCUCGUAAUUGGAAUGAGUACAAUCUAAAUCCCUUAACGAGGAACAAUUGGAGGGCAAGUCUGGUGCCAGCAGCCGCGGUAAUUCCAGCUCCAAUAGCGUAUAUUAAAGUUGUUGCAGUUAAAAAGCUCGUAGUUGAACCUUGGGUCUGGCUGACUGGUCCGCCUCACCGCGAGUACUGGUUCGGCUGGGCCUUUCCUUCUGGGGAACCUCAUGGCCUUCACUGGCUGUGG
rnacentral:rRNA from 1 species